GACCAUAGGGGGGUUAGGCUCUCGCCUUUACAUUGGCCCAAGUGGGAUUAGCUAGUUGGUGAGGUAAUGGCUCACCAAGGCGACGAUCCCUAGCUGGUUUGAGAGGAUGAUCAGCCACACUGGGACUGAGACACGGCCCAGACUCCUACGGGAGGCAGCAGUGGGGAAUAUUGCACAAUGGGCGCAAGCCUGAUGCAGCCAUGCCGCGUGUGUGAAGAAGGCCUUCGGGUUGUAAAGCACUUUCAGUCAGGAGGAAAGCGUGGUGGUUAAUACCCAUCAUGUGUGACGUUACUGACAGAAGAAGCACCGGCUAACUCCGUGCCAGCAGCCGCGGUAAUACGGAGGGUGCGAGCGUUAAUCGGAAUUACUGGGCGUAAAGCGUACGCAGGCGGUUUGUUAAGCGAGAUGUG
rnacentral:rRNA from 1 species